UCUCAUUUCGUUUUGCUCGUGCUCGAAUCGCGGGCAUUCGAGAACGACGUACUCAGGUGUUUCCUCUGCAUCACCGCACGCGAUGCAGAACGGCGAACUCGCGUGGCCAAACCUGUUCAGGUACUUUUUGAAACAGCCAUGACAAGACAACUGCGUCAUGUGGAAGUUCAGCUUACCGUGCGCUCUGUUCAGGUACACCGACAAGCAUGGAAUUAGUCGAUGGGUCUAUCUUUCGUUUACAGCAUUAUCCCACUGAUGCUGCCACUUGAUUAAGGUAUCACCUCGGGCUCGUUUACGGAUUCCUCUCGUGCCUCGAUCCCUAUAACACUUGCUAUCCUCUUCGAGUAGAAGGUUUAUGGGAAUCGUUCUAACUAUCACGUAAGCUGCCUCUGACGAGAUAGUGCGGUACACGCUGUACACCCGCAUGGCCAUCUGCCUGAACGUGCUGUUCAACUGAGAUGUAUUCCUCUUCGUCUGCAGUUCCGUCACCCAAUCAGGUCGUGCGUAUCUGAGCACCGAUGUGGACCAGUAAUAGCUUUUUACUGCUGCUGUUCGCCGAAUUGUUGGGCAUGAUCCGAGAUAGUGCCGAGAUCACUUAUUAAAGCUUAGCCGGUCGUCACUCCCAGUUGUGUAACUUCCCGCUUUGAGUUGAUGAUACUAUCUCCGACCGACAUUCUUGCCUGAUGCACUGCCUUUCGGUUGAUUAUCAAAACCAUAUCGGUUUCGUGGUAAGCUAGCGUCAGCAUCUAUCGCCUCCGUUGCGAGUACUUCUACUUUCUCUAGUGAUUCGCCGAUCAUAAUAAGCACCACGUCGUGCACAAAAUCGACGGCUCUCCUUCGGUACUUCAUCGUAGCAUUUCAAAGAGUUGGGCCGAGUAUGGAACCCUGUGGAACGCCCGCUGUUACGGUUACACUUCUUUUUCCGGCGCCAGUUUCGUAAAUCAGUUACCGGUUCCGGAAGUAGCUCCUCAGAAUCCUACAGAGGAAGUUCCAUAGUUUCCACGACCGUUCGUAUGACAUCCACGGUGGAUCUACCUUUCCGGAAACAGAACUGCAUAUUUGGUAGUCCAUUCUCUCCCUCUCUGUAUGUUGUAAGCCUGUUAAAGAUUACUCUUUCAAGCACCUUGCCGACUGUAUCCAACAGGCAUGUCAGUCUGUACGCUGAAGAUCUCCAGGGGGCUUGCAACAGUAGCAGCUUUUUUCGCUUCCAGAUGUCGUAGAAGUCACCAUCGUCGAUGCACUUUUUCAACGCGGUCCUAAACAUAUCCGGGUCCGAUAGGAUUGCUGUUUUCAGAGCCACGUUUGAGAUACCGUCUGGUCCCGGGGCCUUCCUGGUUCUCAAGGCUUUUGCCAUCACCAUGAGCUUCUCGUUAUUUACCCGAGCUUCUUCUUUGUAGUCAUUCUGCGUCCCGUAUGGCAUGGGUGGCCAGGCCGUCAGUUCAUGAUGUGGAAAUACCGCUUCUACGAUGACUCUCAUCCUCUCCGGGCACCUAUCCGGUGGUCUUCGCCAAGGCAACUCUAUAGGCGUCGCCCUAUGGAUUUGAAUUGGCGUUGCGGUAAUAACUUUAGGCAGAUUUUCAUACUGAGUUUGAUUUCCUGGUUAAGUGCGGUUGUUGCCGCCUAAUAUGCUGGUCUUAGAGCAUUUCACUUCCCUGACUAACAAAAAAAACCGAAAGCGCUAGCCACUCUCGCUGUGGAGGAUAAGCCGAACAAGGAUUAACCUCUGCCACAGCUAACUCGAGAAGUAGAGUGAAGUUGGCAAGAAAGCUGAAUCGCCUAGGACACAUUGCGGUGUCUUCCGGAUUUUUUUUGCGGGCGCAACAAAUUGGUUAUUUGUUAUCACAGUCGCUAGGGAAGUUCCAACAAAGGGUCAAGAGUUGAGGACUGUUGCAGAAGCAGUCAAUACUAACACCGGAAGAACUCGUUUGAAACAAAUAAAGUUAAAAUUAUUUGUCGUCUCACUAGACCCGGCGAAAUCGGUGUUAUACCCGGAGGCCCGAAGGUCGUCUCCAAAAACCGGAGUCUCCGGGUUACACCCGGAGGGGUGACAACCCUAAAGCGGAACUCCAAUCUGUCCCGUUCACGUUGAACCGUUCUCUUUUUUGGCGAAUCCCCACGUUUCUUGCUUGAGUUCUGAAAUGAAUAAACUAUGUUUUACAUAAGCCAAUAUUGUCUGCAGUCGAUGAGGUUUUUCAAUAACGAAGUUCGUCUGGUGUACACUUCGUAACCCCCUUAGCUGACGGCGCCGAUUGUUGAGUGGUAAGCUUGACCGUCACUCGUCCCAGUGGGUCUGGGUUCUUAGGUGAAAAAUCUGUGGUCACAUCUUCCUUCGGUAUGAAAAUAAUGCCUUUGGCCCGGUCCAUGGGUUGAUGGGCCGAUAUCAAUGGUUCAGAUGGUGGAGUCACCUCCCUGGCGUCGCUGAUUUGAACUCAGUGUGUACAAAGGCCGACGGACGAGAAUAAAAAAAAACCCGUAGUUCUUGUUGUAGGUUUGCGGUCUAUUCGUUUGUUGGAUGCCAAGGGACUGUUAUUUUCAGAUGAAACGCCGAUCAGCCAUAUUUGUUACGAAGUGGAAGUAAACGAGACGAUAUCGCAACAAACACUAUUAAUUACAACUAAAUUAAAGUACACGUCUCGUGUUCAGCCGGCUGUGGAUGUCUGACGUCUUCGUUGGCAGGUGGCAUCGAUCACAUACGGUUGGAUGACAGCGGUCGGUUUACAGCUAUCGGUUGAUAGGCGUGGGUGUCCGAAGAAUAGGGUGGUAGUUCAACACCUCUCCUGGCACGGCUUGUGGCAGAUCAGUACAAAUCGUUAUCUCGAAGGACGACGUUGAAGCGCUUCAUCAUGAUCAGGUCCGGUAGCAAGAGCUCGAGCACAAUGUCGUUGCUGAAUCACCGGCUCGAAGAACUUUCACUGUAAUUCGUUCAAUCUUUCCGGCUCAGCUGAUGGUGGCGCUGUUACAGUGGUAGCAGCAUCAACGUUUCCGCAGCUGAUUGUUGUGUGAGCGGAUUAUUCGUUGUCGUUCCGGAAGCCACUCAUUAUACUCUACUGGUCCAACACGUUCCAGGAUCCAGCACCAGUUGUUGUCUUGGUGCACUUGAGCAUACACUUUGUUUAUCACGUCAAAGCUCUUCUCUUUCGAAGUAACGAAGUCAUUUCAAGGACGUUCGUAUCUGUCGACCAAGAAGGAUUUCAGCAGGUCGUCAAAAUCUUCUCCUCCUGCUUGAAUUUUUUUGACAGUCCCUUUGUCAACAAGCGUUCCGCCUGUACUUUGCUUUGGAGGUGGAAUUGUACUAUUUUGAGAUGCAUGAUCUCAUUAGCCUCGCAAAACUCUUCGAAGGUAUCACUGGUGAGCUGCGGGCCGUUGUCCGUCAUCAAAACUUCCGGCAUGGUAGAUUGCUUUCUCUGAUGCGUCUGGAAAACCGGUGUACAACGCGGGAACAACAUGAUACGGAGGCAUAUUGACGAUAACCUCGACCUUGUCUAGGUCAGGGCUGAUAAUGUCCGUAUCAUGAAGCUGAUCCAGGUGCUACACCUUGCGCAUAAAAACGACACUUCUCAAACUUUACCGUAAAUCCGUACUAUUGGUCUAGGCAGAACAUGAUACAGAUUCGGCUUGUGCCGUGCAACCACCGAUCUGCAUGUCGUCGAGAUACGGAGAUGUACAUGUUAGUCCACUCAGCAUGGCAUCCAUGAUUUGCUAAAAAGCGUCGGGAGUGCUCUUGGCCCCAGGGGAAUCCCGGUUGAAACGAUAGAACCACUUGUGGGUGUUGAUCGUGAUAAGCUUCAAACUUUCCUCGUCGACCUCGACUUGAAGAUAUGCGUUGGACAGAUCGAUGGGGCUAAACAUCGUGCAUUUUGCCAUCCGUUGAAAAAGGUCUUCUAGGAGUGGAAAUGGGUAGCUGUUUGAUUCGAGCGCACUGUACAAUCCAGUGGAGAAAUAUGCGCAAAUACGAACGGAGCGAUCUGACUUGAGGACCACCACGAUGGGGUCUGCACCAUCCACAUAGGUGACAGGAUGCCCAAAUCUUUCAGUCACUUCAGUUUGUCUUUGACAAACGCUUCCAUAUUGUAUGAAAAUGGUCGCUGGCCGAGCGUCCGACUUGAGAGUAAGUCGCACUUGUGUUGUAGUGCACAGACCCAUAAGGUUGGCUUACACUUCGGGGAACAUUGUUUUCAAAAUCUAUUAUCUGCUGAUCUGGUUGUUGGCUAAAAAUGAUACGUCUCAGAACCCAAACUGAGCCAUCAGAUCGGAGCCUAAAACAUUCAAGGUCAGCACAACAAAAUAUAGCAGUAAUCAAUCUGUCCCCUGAAGCUGCCCGCACUUGACUAUCCAGUGGAGUUGUCUUUGGGACCCCGAUGUUGAUCCAGUUUUGCAUUGAUAUAAUGGUUAUAUCUGAGCUAGAGUCCAGCUGCAGUUCAACCGGUAGAUGUAUAUCGCUGUCUCCACAUAGCGCUGAACGUACUUCAAAUGGCUGACAAUCAAUUUUUGGUGUGUAGCUGUUGCUUUCCAUGAACACUUUGAACUUGAUUUUGACGCGAUACAAGAACAAUUCGUAUAUCCGCAUCCUUCGGCGAUAUCAGGCCGCACACAAAGAUUAAACAUUUAAACUGAUCUUCCUACAGUUCUUGCAGCUUGAAAUGGAUACAAGCUGUGUUCACUUUACAGGAGUAUGUGAUGUAAUCCUCGUUUUCUUGUUUCGCCGUUUGAAGCCACUGGUACCGGCGUGAAGAAAUUGAGAACGAAUAAAUAAAUACAACGAUCUUUCGUUAAUGUAUUGUGAACUAGCAUGAAUAAAAUAAAAAUUGAUUUGUUUUUUUUUGAAUGUCUUAUAAGCGUUUAUUCGCUAUGUGCCGAAGAUUCAGAUCUAAGUCACGCCUGUAUACAUUCUGCUGUUAAAUAUUAAUCUAUAAAAGCAGGAGCACCGACUUAGUACCUAACCUCAAUCCGAAUAGAGCACGUAGGGAUCCGAUCAGCGUUGUUUGAAUAUAUGUGAUUUGCAUCCAAAGCCAGCUAUGAGGAAAUAUGUUUCGUCAUCUGAAUUCUCACAACAUGAACUGUGGGAAAUACAUGGGAAAAAGUAGCUUUGACGAAUAGAUUUCAAUUCUCCUUCAUUCGAUGAUUUUUUUUAGAAAUUCCAAGUUGGUGCGUGGUGUAAAUCGAUGUACCUUGAUUUUACCAUCAUCCAUAUACACGGGAAUUUUUGCUCAAAUUCAAUGUUGUGUUACAUGAAAUUCUUCACAAUGACGCUUCCAACCUCGGUUAAAUUUCUAUGAACGUUGGCAGUACUUCAUUACGUCCACGGUGUAACUCCUUUGUGAGGUUUAUCGCCGGUUUAGGAACUAUUCUACCAAGCACACAUUUGGUCUAAUAAGAAUUUGUUCAAAGUCAGUCGCAAUGGAAAUUCUCGUAGUAGAAGCACGUUUCACUCAUGUGUUGUUUCCUAAUAUCACUUCUCAGCCAGAGGAACGAUAUUGUACUAUUUGUGCAGUGAAUAAGCAACAAAGCAGCACAAAUCACAGAGUAUUUUUGUUUCUGCUCUGGACGAGAUAAGAAGGUAGGCUGAAACAUAUAAAAGCUCACCAAUAAAAGGAUAUUUUUCAACAUGUUAUGUUGCUCUGGUAUUUGUUUUUUUUGGCAAAAACAUUCCAGUUCCUGUAUUUUAUCGGUACUGAGGGAUACAGUACCGGGAAACCGGUUCAUACGAAAAAGGAUCCGUACUAGGAACCCUAGCGAACAAGCUUAAAAUCCUACGAACAAAUCGUUUUCUUCUACUGGCAGGACUCGACCUUAGUCGUAGCGUGGUCAUAUCAAAUUCUCAGCUGUGCGUCCCUUUGGUGUAUACUUUGGCUUUCUUUUUCAGUUCGACAUUCAAAUAAUAAUUUGUGUACAUGGAAAUGGCGCACCUACUCCCUACUUGUUUCUUGUUUGACUGUCGUUCAUUUCUUGUAAAUUCCAGCCACAAAUAUUUUACUGUAUAUUCAUGAAAUCAGUUGACGCUAGGUGUUUGAAGGCGACGGAGGGAGCAUCUAUUUAGAAGACUGUAUAUUAGGGUGCCAUGGCAUGUAUGGAAAACAGGUGAUCAUCGCAUUUAAUAACCAGACGCACCUCAAUAGCAUUAGCACCUCGACGAAAGUCUCUUUGCAAAAGUUUAGCUCAAUCGAACACGAUUAAGGGGUUGUGCGAAACGGCGAAAGUGCAAAAAUUUUCACCCAUGAAAAAUACAAAAGGACCUACAGAAUAUUCAAAAACUGAAUUCGCAUUUUUGAUGCUUAAGAUGUAAUGAAACGUCGAGAUCUACGUCCACCCUGAUUUUUUAUAAGAGAGCUUUUAUGGAACUUGGAAAAUUCUGGAUUUGAGUUAAUAGUGGGGUUUGAAAAGGCUGCUUUUAAUAUAUUUUCCAUGCCAGAUGUCUUAGAAAUGCAUGAAACAAGGGAUCUUGUAUCUUCUCAUAAACAAUAGUUUUGUUAAAGUUUCCUCUCUGGUGCUUUUAAUGUUUAAACUGAGAUCUUCAAAUAAAAACGAAAAAAAAUAAUUUUUGUUUCGAAUUGACACCAGAUUUUGACAUUUCAUUGAUUUUUAAAACAUUUGGCAUGCAAAAAAAAAAUAAAAACUGCAUUCUCAAACUCAAGUCCCAUCUCAAUUCAAGAAUUUUUCUUGCACCACGAAGACAUUUUUUCAACAUUACACUAUAUCUUAACGCUGACAUUGCAUGGUGACUUUUGUCGAGGUCCAAUACUUUCGAGGCGUGUCCGAUUUGAAAUUUCAGGAAGACCAUAAAUAGUGGCACUCUACCGUGUAUCAAGUAUACUGAGGAGACAACUUUGAAUUGAUUGGUGAAUUUUUGAUUACGGUGCAUAUCAAUAGAUUUGAAUUACCAGUCCAAGGGCAGUCACGGCAUUCCGGUUAUAUUCCAGAAAGAAUCCAUCCAUCUUUUUGCACAAGCAAAUGAGACAAAGAUGCUUUUAUGAUCUAUUGCUGAUUAAGUUUUUCACAUAUUCUUUGCUCCAGUAACUAAUAAAAUAGUUUGCAUCCAGCCAUAUAUCGUGUGAAGAUAGAUGGCCAUUUUAGUCCUUUACUAUCAAAUUCAGACUUGUCUUUCAAAUUAAAACCCCCCAUGAUUUCAGUCUCUUCUUUCUUAUUCUUCAGUUGUCGCUUUGCAUCUGGCUGCAUGAAUAAACUCUCCUGAAUUGACUCAAAUGAUCCUAAAACGUAUGUCGAACAGGAUUCGUCGCCAAAGACUCCGAGCUUCCAUUUAAAAUCAAACACGUUGAACUGGAUUUGUCUGUAUCGGAUCUUCUUUCACAUCAAAGAUAGUCCCCGAAGUAGUCUAAUAUUCAACAAGCCGUAUAAAUAUUCAGCUGUAUCAGAUAUCUCGAAAGUUCGUCCAGAUAAGUUCAGAAUUGUGAUAUUUUGUCUAAAGCAAACAAAUGACGUUACUGGCGACAAGACUUUCAUGAAGAGCUAAUGCGUUUACAUGUCCGCUCACAAAGUUGAGAUCGACGGUGUAAUUAUCGAUUCGAACUUGGCAUGCGUGGAUCUACUGAAGAACGGGAUUGUCUGUUUCAAUGGCCUCUUGCUCCAGUGAGCGAAGAUUUUGCGUGACGAUUGCACUGGACGGGACAAAAUGGGGUGUCCCUUCAAACUAAUGUCGAGUGACCCUAUGGGAGACUGCUUUUGCAUAUUCUUCGACGAGGAUCAUCUACAUGGUCGGUUGUUUGUGCCGCGCGUCAUGCAUGCAGUAUUCCACUAAUUACAAGCAAAUAGGUUUUUGUAAGAAUAACUUUUUUCUCUCUUGAAAGGUCGCUAAAUAUAGCAGCAAGAAAAAACUCUGCCACAAAUCCAUACAAUUCAGAAGAUUCACAAUUCAGAAGAACAACGCUUCCAGGAACACCACAAACCUUAUGUGAUAUUGCAACCAGUGAUUCAAAUUAAUGCAGGAUUGGGUGGACCUAGGUUGGGAACCGGCAACUUUGUGAUAUUGCGGAACUCCUCCUGGCAUCGAGGAGACAUGGGUUUAUCAUCUCGAUGAUAAUUAAUCUAGCUUACUCUACGAUAUUUGCUACUGCUUUAUAAAAGCGGCCUGUUGUACUGCUCAUGAUCACAUUUCCGUUCCCCUUGUUCCUAUGAAACUGAGAAAACGAGCGAAAAAAGUUUGCAAUUAUUUUCGCUAUUUUGGUUGAAAUUUGAAGUCAUAUGUUUGUUGUUACUAUGUUUUAAUUGCCGCAAGGUUCUGCUGUAUCGAUUUUGUUGGCUAUUUUCGGCAAAUUUGAGACUAAGAGAAACGAAAGCAAUGAAAUUGAAAGACGGAUAGGUAUUCUAGAGCGAAUCAGUUAUAAACUUAGAACGGAAAACUAGAACUAGGCAGGCUCAUAUGGGCAUGAUCGAAAGGAAAUGUGAAGAAUUCUUUGCCUUAUGCAGAGUAGGAGUUGGGCGUUGCACCCAAGUCUACCGCAUGGUCUAUGGUAGAACAUAACUCAUCAUCAUGUUUUACCGCCGACGCCGGCAACAUAUGUUUGUUGUUUGGUAGAUUUUCAGUUCUGCGCCUUUUGAUGUCUGCUUUAGCUUUUCUUUUCAGUUCGACUGUCGAAACAAUAAUUUUGUGUGUACCUGGGAAUGAUACUGCCAUCCUCACUUAUUUUAUAAAGCAGACAAGAUUUUAGGGCCCCCUUAAGCUUCGCGCCCUUGGCGGGGGCCAUCCUGGCCAACCGAACGCUACGGCUCUGAGAGUUACUACGAACCGUCAAGUCUACCAACAUGUCUCACGGCAGAGACAAACUUGUACCUCUUUACCAUGAGAACCGACAUCUCGAUUUAAGGACAUUAUACAUGCGGGCCACAACAUAGCUCCUACGCCGCACAUACCCCUCUCCCCUGCUUAACCAUGUAUCUGACAUGAGCAAAUAUAAAAAUACGUACGUGUACCACGAAACUGCUACUUGAGGAAGCUAGAACAGUUUCCUAUACAAUCAACCCGAGUUUUUGACGGAAUUCCAUCUGUAGCUCUUAUUUUGUGUGAAAAUACCACGCCUCUUUGUAGGGAUUGAGAGAGGAGAGAGAAAAACAUAUAUGAAGUUGAAGGCGCGAGAAUGCGUAAAGAGAAUAUACAGGAGCGACGGAUAGAAUUAAACGAAUGGAAAAAAGUUCGUCAGUUGUGUGAUUGACUUUGAGUGAGGAAGUUGUGGUUUUGUGACAUCCGGACACGACAAUGGCGCAGUCCGGUAAAUAAGUGAGUAUAAAAAAAACGAAUAAUUCCCCCGAGAGGGUAUAUCAAGUUUAAACCCUUGUGAGGGCUAUGCAAGUAUUGCCCCCGAGAGGGUUUUGAUAAGAAUAAUUCCCCCGAGUGGGUAUUUGUAAAAGUAAUUCCCCCGAGAGGGUUUCGAUAAGAAUAAUUCCCCCGAGUGGGUAUUUGUAAAAGUAAUUCCCCCGAGAGGGUACACCAAGUAUAAACCCCUGUGAGGGCAUUGUAAGUAUUGCCCCCGAGAGGGUUGUCAUAAGAAUAAUUCCCCCGAGUGGGUAUUUCCAAGAAUAAUUCAUCCGAGAGGGUAAUCAAAAUAUGUUUCCCUGAACGGAUUUUUCAUAUGUACUGCCCCAGAGAGGGAAACUAUAAAUUUGUAGAAUUUAAAGUUCGCGGAUUGUUGAUUUUUCUCAUGCGCAGUGUAUACCACACACUGUCUGGAUACAGUAAGAAAAUAUGAGAACAUUAUCGCAUUUUCAUAACGCGAGUCUGUUAGUUUCGUUUUUUCUUAAUCGUAUACAUACGUGGUAACGUUUCCGAAGCGUGUGAAAAAAAACAAUCUGAGCAUGAUAUCUAUACAUAACUGCGGACAGAACGAGAAGGUAUUAACUCACCUUUUCGUUUUGCUAGAGUGUGGGUUUCGUUACUGGUACCCGUUUGUACACAUGGUAUGUGUUUCCGAAGCGAAUGGAAAUAUACCGAGUCUGAACUUGCCUCUUUGCCUCUCGUGAGUUUCCAGAAUGAAAGCAAGUAUUGCGUGUGUGAACAGAGUAAAAAUGAAUGGCUUGGCAUGGGUUCGUCUUUCUCAUAUGCAGAAGAGAGAAGAGAAAAUUUACAACAGAGAGACUGCAUUUGGACCUGUGGGUCGUAUUUCUAUAGCAAAAAAGGGGGUGAUUUCUCUUUCGAGAGUGUCUGGCCUUCACGUAUAUGGCACCCAUAUCCCGAAUGUAUUCAACUGAUAUGAGCCAACAUCUCUGCGGGCACACAAAUUAUGGGCCCCCAUGACAGUUCUAAUUGUUCUGCUCAUUUCUCUGCAAGCUCGGUUCGCACUAGAUAGAAACGAUGCGGCAUGACUCGAUCUUUGGAUGUUUGUCAUCGAGCUAAAAUAGUAAACAAUAAAUGGUAGAAAAGUGAUGUUUUCGUCAUGUUGAUGGAUGAGAAACACUUUCUUCCAUGAUAUAGCGAUAAUAAAACGAAUUUGAACAUCGAAUAGCCGUGUCGUAUGGAAUCAAUUCCUUCGAUUGUAAAUUGAUCUUCAUACAACUUUUUAGAUCUUAGAUUGCAAAACAUGGCGGCGUAGCAGAUACCUACUGGUCGUGCACUUGAUUCCGAUUGUUCAUACAUGCGGGUUGCGGAUAAAGCCAGAAAUCAUAAAAUCGCGGUCCUUUCGUUUUGCCAGAUCUGUGGUGUGUGGACACAGAUACAUGUUGCUACAUAUAGGGUAAUGAGCCUAUUUUCGUCAUGUUUCUAUUAUCCUACCCAUUUGAAGCCGUUGGUUAGAGCAGCGUAGGGCACUUGAUUCGAGUUUUCGUUGCGCUCAAACGCGAGCAUUUCGCCAUUUUCAGGGCGACUGUGUUAUUUUCUUGGUUUUUAACAACGAAGCAAAGCUAUUGAUGCCAAAUUGUAUGCAUUCCAUCGAUUGUAGGCCGAGUAACUAAUGAAUUAGUGAUAAUCUCUAAUAGGGUGGCAUUUUCAUGACGGCACGUUACUCUAAUAUGUUUUAAUGGUAUUUCUUUUUGUAAGAGGUCUUGGGUUUCGUCAUUGCACCGGUUCGUGUAUUGAGCGUACGCGGUGCUGUGUUUUAGAGAGGAAUUUGCGCGAUAUAAUUCGCAUAGUUAAGGUAAGAAAAAUUAUACUCGCUAUUACCUUUUCGUUUUGCGCGGGUGCGCUCUUGCUCUUCGGUACCAGUUCGCGCAUGUGUCAUGGGUCAUACUUCGGAGAGCGAUGAAUAUGCAAGAUCAAAAUUUAAUCUUAUAGUUGCCUCUUCAUAUCGCGGGAGUACAUUGUCAUGGACCAUUUAUUUGCCAUAUGGAUACAUGCUAUACAAACGAAGCAAAAAAAGUGGAAACACGCAACCGCAUUUUCGUUCUGCAUGGAUGAUUGCUUGAACUUCGUACCGGAUCGCUUGUAUGCGCGUGUUUUCGGUGCUAGGAAAUUUCUACUAAAUUUGCUGUCACCUUUUCGUAUCGAAAAGAAGCAUGGUCGUUGGUAUAUAGGGUUAAUGAGAGUGCGGAAUUCUCAUUUGCUUAGGUAGUGUGAGUGUGCUAACUCGUGCAAGGACAUCUUAUGGUCAUUACCAUGGCUCGUUUCUAUAACACACGUGUGCGAAAAAAACCGAGAAAAUAUGAACUCACCAUGUACCUAGCGCCUUCUCCGUUCGCCAGAACUAAAGUUUCGGCACCGCUUCGCUUGGUUGUAUUGCGGUACGUUGUUUUCACACAUGUGGUGUGUAGGCAAAGCUAGAAUAUAUAUAUAUCCUCGCGCUGGUUACCAGUGGUGCUAGCAUGGGUGCAUCGAUUCACCUACACAAACCAGUAGUUUUUUGGAAACGAAGAAAGUUCUAGCUGAAAUCGUUAUAGCUUUUUCGUACGGUAAUGGAUAGUUGGUAUGGAUUCGUUUAUUGAGCACACAUGAUAUGAGCACCUAGCAUUUUGCAUUUUAUUCGAUGUGCAUCCGUGUAUGUUCGUUUUCACAUGGUGCGCACAUGAGAUGAGAGUAUGAAUUAUAUAUUGUCGUGCUGUAUUUAAAAGUGGUUGGAGAACGUCAUAUUUGACUGUAUUAGUAACCGAAAAUGGGUUUCGACACAGGUUCACUAUCAAACGCGCGUCGUGUUUUCGGGAGCAAGAAAAUUGCAAAUUGUAUUCGGUGUCUGCCGUCUUGUCAUCUCUCCGUAUCGAAAUUUAUGCUUGGUUAUAUCGGCACGUGUUCAGGAACGUUCAGCACGUUGUUUUUUUUUUAAAUCUACGAUAAGUAGUUCUCGGUUUGAUCUAAUUCAUUGAGCCAAACUUGCAGUUUUGGUUAAUAUAUUCAAAGAGAGAGUAGAGGUAGUGAAGGAUGUAGGGAUUGAGAGAGGAGAGAGAAAAACAUAUAUGAAGUUGAAGGCGCGAGAAUGCGUAAAGAGAAUAUACAGGAGCGACGGAUAGAAUUAAACGAAUGGAAAAAAGUUCGUCAGUUGUGUGAUUGACUUUGAGUGAGGAAGUUGUGGUUUUGUGACAUCCGGACACGACACUCUUCACUUGGGGUUUCCUUUCGAAACUUAUUUUUGUUCUUCUCAUUUUCAGAACACUUUGAAGUGCUCUUUAAUCACACACCACUGAACAAAAUCCGCGAAACUUUAAUCGUUUACUAACUAAACUUCAAAUUUUCUACCAAAGUGCAGAUGACCGAAGGAAAAUGUCCGAAAACGCUCAUUUGUGCAUUUGAAUUUUCACUUCGAAUUCCAUUUUUUUUCUCAAUGUAAACAAGCGUGUCGGGUCGGUGCCUAGCAACAAGUGUGCGUUCCUGGCUUCCACAUAUCUUCACCUGAACUUUGCUUGGAUUUUCCGUUUGCAUGUUGACCUCACUUCUUACCAAGUUACUACCAUUUUUAGACCCGUGGGAGCCAACGUGCAAGUGAGCUUAUGUUCGUUCUAUCAAACUGCCUUAAUUUUAGUUAAAUUGUAAACCGUGAAAAUUCUCAGACGAUCUCGGGCAGAGUUGCACAAACAACUGAUGACCAACUUUCUGGGAGGCUAUAAUAUAGAUCCGCUGAAUAUAAGUCUAUUGAAUACUUUACGCUGACGUCACAAAUGAACUGAGUGUUCAUUUUUGACAGUUCGCUUGUACUGUUUACAUGGACUUAGAAAAAUUCCGUACGAUUUGUUUCGAGCGAAUCUAGUCGUCCACCAAUUUUUCUAAGUCCAUGUAAACAGUACAAGCGAACUGUCAAGAAAAGUGAGGUUAACUGUGUCAGUAAAGUACCUAAUUACAUAAUUCGUAGAUAACUGCUUGAACUUUGGCCUACUUUGAUUGCUGCAUACAAAAAGUACUCGCGCUGGGUUCGAUUCUAACCAGCGAAAAACAAAAGCGUUGUUCCUGGAAAUUGUAUACCACUCAGUAGUCAUUCAAUGCUUUUGAUUUAUUAAAUCGAUUAAAAAUGAGAAAUUUAACAACGCAAUAGAAACGUCCCCUAUUUCAUUUAUGCCAUACACGACCUGUCAGUUUUUUAUCUAAUUUGUACGAAAAGGGCUGCCCUUUCCCGGCAUAGUGUACAUAUAGAACUCGGAAACAGUAUAAUUAUCCUUAGAUUGUAGUUAUCUAGUUUUAACAAAACCAACGACAAAACUCGUACUCUGUGUCACCGAAUGAGGGCACCGGAAGAACAACGGUCGAAGAAAAGAAAGCUCGAACCGCACAGUCUGUAUACACCCCCCGAGACAGACGAGUGUUUUUAUACCAAACUUUCUAAGAAUAAAGCAACAACAAAAAGUAAUAUUCAAAACAUCACUUUAAACGUACGUAGCGAGACUCACUCACUGUUCACUGAUGGAACAUAAUAAUGAGCGGUGUUUGUUGAUGUAGAUGUAGAUAAAGAGGCGAACCGUGUGACAGCCAGACCAGCACACACUCACACAAACCCAUUCAAAAACUUAUUCUAUAGUUGAAAACUCGUUGAAGUUUACAUUUAAAAAAUAAACCUAAAACAAGAAUGACUCAGACAAAAAUUAAGAUAACUGCGGAGAAAAGCUCAAAAUAAAACUCGUUAUGAUUAUUAGGUAUAAGCGAUAAAAGAAACAAGAGAGAAUUUUAGGACUCGAAUAAAAAAUGUCGUGUAAACUAGUAACAAACAAAAGCUAAAGGCACAUUUUUGUAUAGAACUGAAAAGGUUAGAGUUAAACGGAAAACUAUACUAAAAACUGCAUGAAAUCGUAGUGAUACGGUUGUUCUUACCGAACACAUACACACUAACAUACACACAGACACAUACUUUGGGGUCAAUUUAAUCAAAGACAGCGGGGAACACGGUAAAAUUGGUGAUUUUUCUCAACACGUCUCAACUACAUCUUCGGUUAUUAUUUUACGUUGGUUGUGAGUGUAGAUUUUUAACGGUUGCCAGCGUGCAUGUGUGUGUGUCUGAGUGAACUCCCAAACGCGCCGGAGUAGGCGGUCGAACGACGGGUUUGUGAGCGAGUAUCGUCAGUAUUUUAUCAGGGACCCUAUUUUUAACCCGAAACCGCCUGUGUAGAUACCUUUUUCGUGUGAUGAGAGUGUCGAGCUCGUUUUCCGCUAGAUGGCAGUGCUUAGUAGUUUCUAACCUGUGCCCUUCUUUGUCCCUUGGCUUCAAGCAUAGUGCUAUUCAGACAUUCCCGUUUUGCCACCACCCGGGUUUCGUUCCGUUUCGUGUUCAUCUUUGUUCAAACAUUCCAAGCGAAUCGAGUUCCCAGCAUUCUAAACUGACGACGGAUUAAUGGUUGUUUUUUUACUAACGCUGCCAUCUAUCGGACCGAGCUUGAACUGUAGUCUAGAUGCUGCGACGAGCGCAAUAUGUAAAAUAGAAAUUGUAAUGUUUGAAUAUUUGAUAAUUAGAGAAAGUGGAUCGUUUAGAGGCACGAACAAGACAAAAAAAUCAAUACCAAGAAAUAGUCUGAACAAUUAAAACAAAACAUAAAAAUUACACUACAACCAACAAAAUUUACGUUAAAAUUAAAACUCACUGAAUUAGAUGAAACAAACUAAAAUGAAGAUGAAUUUAGAAGGUAAACGACACAAAAACAUAAGCAAGACAACCUCUUCCGGUGUAAGCGUAGUAAUUUUUAAGGUUAUGAUAAAUAAUAAAGAAAAACGACACAGUAAUAAAAAAUACAAAAAUAAACUGAACCGUUAGACAUUCAAAAUAUUUCACCUAUUUUGUAAGAUUUGUAAUUAUUUUUAGGAAUAGCUGGAAAGCUCUUCAAUUAAAUGAGACAGAAAGGGAAAAAGAGAGGGAGAUAGCAGAUUGAACAAGCGAACAGUUAUCGUGUUUUAAACAGACUAAAACGAAAGCGGAGAGACAUAUUACUCAAGCAAAAAGGGUGCCAUCGUUUUUAAACAAGUAGAAUAGUGAAACUAGAUUAUUUUUGUCUACAUUUUUUUUCUCUCCACUGUGUACUCAAUUUGAAUUUGAAAAAGAGGAAACAUUUUUCGUUGUUACUCUCAAGAACAAUAAUAUUGAGUUGUUUCAUUAGCCAUUUAAGUCGCACGCUAGAGCUCAACCCAAAACCUUCUAAGCUACGUGAAUGGGACGUGCGAGCAUUCACAGAACACACGCCAUAAUUUUGCACAAUUAGCAAGUGUCGGUAAUUAUGAAAAUUCAUCAAAACACUUACAAACACAAACAUACACAUACAGACAUACAAAACAAAACAUUCACUAUCCGCGUAGCGUAGGGGAAGUAUUGAGCGAAACAUGCGAUAGAAGAGCGAAUCUGUAAUGCUCACUACCAAGGACCAGCCCCGGUGAUAGUGGUGAGCACGGAUUGUCACUGUAACGGAAUGUAAGCCAAACUUGUAUUUUAUGUAUUUAUUUUGAUGUCGAUUUUUAUUUUUUCUACUAUUGAAAGCGAAUAAAUAAACGAAAGGAAAAUUUA